AUUUAUGUAAAUUGCUGAUUUUGAAUCACUACAUCUGGGAACUACUUUCUUUAUUUGCAAACGUCAUUGUGACGAAAGCCAUUUUGAAUUAAUUCAACCUAUCAGAAGCCCAGAUUUAAUUAUUCAAGGGUGUGUGAACUUAAGUAUCAUGAAAAAUUACCACUUCCCAGAUGAUCAUCUAGCGGUAGACAACCAUGGUUUAAUGUUCCCCGUUUAACUGUUUUAAAUGUUAAAGUAAAUGUCUCAAAUGAUUGUAAAUCAGCACCAAAUACCGUCUCUUAUGUAUUUUUUUGAUUAAUAACGGAGUGAGUGUAAUAUCAAAAAUUAAAACGUCACCGAACUUAGCCGCCGACACUCUGCCUGUGCCACAACGUGAGCGAUCCAUAUCCGAGGUCCAGUCAAUUUUCAUCCGAAGACAUCGAUGAUGUCUCUCCAGUGGAAAGAUGCACCGAGAUCGCCAACAUCUUGUCACCAGCUAUUGACUUUUUUACCACAAAUCGACCUCACGGGUCGCCGGAGUUCCGUCUGCCCUGAAAUCCACCACUCAC